AGUGAACGCUGGCGGUAGGCCUAACACAUGCAAGUCGAACGGCAGCACAGUAAGAGCUUGCUCUUACGGGUGGCGAGUGGCGGACGGGUGAGGAAUACAUCGGAAUCUACUUUUUCGUGGGGGAUAACGUAGGGAAACUUACGCUAAUACCGCAUACGACCUACGGGUGAAAGCAGGGGAUCUUCGGACCUUGCGCGAUUGAAUGAGCCGAUGUCGGAUUAGCUAGUUGGCGGGGUAAAGGCCCACCAAGGCGACGAUCCGUAGCUGGUCUGAGAGGAUGAUCAGCCACACUGGAACUGGUACACGGUCCAGACUCCUACGGUAAGCAUCAGAGGGGAAUAGUAGACAAUGGGCGCAAGCCUGAUCCAGCCGUACCGCGUGGGUGAAAGAAGCCUUCAGUUUGUAAAGCCGUUUUUUUGGGAAAAAAAAGCAGCAGGUUAUGACCCCGCUGUACUGACGGUACCCAAAAAAUAAGCACCGGCUAACUUCGUG
rnacentral:rRNA from 1 species